rnacentral:tRNA from 1 species
AAUUUUAUAAUUUAUAUUAAAAUAUUAAAUUGCAAAUUUAAAUAAGUAUAGUUUAUAUUAAAAUUU